rnacentral:lncRNA from 1 species
UCGCGAGGCUUCAAUAGGUGUGCCCACUCCAUCCAAGGGAUGGAAAUUUACCAAGUGACCAUCCAAUGGUCAAUAAGGGAGGUGUCCAACCAGAUUAGGUAUGGAGAAAAAUGAGAGACCUUAACCACUUGGACUCUAAGUCUAAGUGGCGCCAAGGAUAAAGGGGCGGCAUGGGUUCAAGCUUAUCCAUUUUUCCCAGUGACUAAAAGAGUG